GAUGAACGCUGGCGGCGUGCUUAACACAUGCAAGUCGAACGAAGCUGCUUAAAGGAAGUUUUCGGAUGGAAUUUAGGUAGACUUAGUGGCGGACGGGUGAGUAACGCGUGGAUAACCUGCCUUAUACAGGGGGAUAACGGAGAGAAAUUUCCGCUAACACCGCAUAAGACCACAGCACCGCAUGGUGCAGGGGUAAAAUAUUUAUAGGUAUAAGAUGGAUCCGCGUCCGAUUAGCUAGUUGGUGAGGUAGAGGCUCACCAAGGCGACGAUCGGUAGCCGGCCUGAGAGGGUGAACGGCCACAUUGGGACUGAGACACGGCCCAAACUCCUACGGGAGGCAGCAGUGGGGAAUAUUGGACAAUGGGGGAAACCCUGAUCCAGCGACGCCGCGUGAGUGAAGAAGUAUUUCGGUAUGUAAAGCUCUAUCAGCAGGGAAGAAAAUGACGUACCUG
rnacentral:rRNA from 1 species